ACCUAAUAAUCAGAUGGAAUCGAUGAGAAGUUGAAGAAAUUUGAUCGGGAGCAAAUAUCCACAGAUUGAACAAUCCUGCAUGUCAAAAUCAUUAUCAGGUUAUGUGUGGAAUCCUAUUGAACUUAAAGUGAAAUUCAAUUCCCUCAAACAAUUCUUAAUUUAAGACGUGAUCUGAAACAAAGUAAAUACAUCAAUUUGAAUUCAUGACAUGAAUAUUUGGUAGGGAAAAAGAAGAUGCCCUGUGCAGGAUCUGGAUAUUGCAAAACCUCCCAAAGAGUAGCUAGGAAUUUGAAAAACAACAGAAGUUCUGAGAAAAUCUGAUUUCUGGGUGAGCUUCGCUUGGUCAUUUAUGCUGUACCUCAACUGACUGCCUUGGAUUUUAAAUACUUCCUGGUAUGGUAAAAUAAUAAUAAUAAUAAAUCAUAUUUUUGAAACACUAAAGACGCAUUUGGGAAGUUGGUCGGCGUUAUUCUUGUCACUUUCUGCUACCAAAUUUUGGCUUAAAUGUUGGUUUUGGUCCUCCUACUGCCCCCUUCAAGUGCAUCUUCCUCUUAAUUCUUGCAAUUGUUGUAUGUAUAGACUGGCAUGAGAGGAAGUUUACAGAGGGUGAUGAAGAGGACACUGAUUCCUUGGACAAAAAUGGAGAUAGAAUCAUUCGUUUCUGGAAAGACCAUGGACGCUAGUUGAACUUCAAUGUUUUGGGUGGCAGCCAGAUUUGGUUCUUGGGGCCUAAAAGUUUGUGCUUUGUUGUGAAAAUAGCCUAUUCUCCUCUUCCUUGGCGUAUGGGCCUAGUCAGGUGCAAUUAUAACUGAAAAUUAUCGCAGGAGGUUCUAAUAAAUUUUUUGGCCAAAUAUUAUAUUAUAUAUAUAUUUUAAAUUGUCGAGCGAAAUUUCAUUAGUAACUUAAUUAAUUAAUAACGCUAAUUUUUUUAGUUUAAAAAAAUAAACUUAAUUAAAUAAGAAAAAUUUAUGACUCAAUUUGUAAAUUAUAAUAAAAAAAAAAUUUAAAUUUUAAUGAGUUAAAUAUAUAUAAAUUUAAAUUUAUUUUAUUUAUUAAUUAAAAUUAAAAAUGAAUUCAACUCAUUUAUAAAAAAAUAAAUUUUACUUAUUUAUAAAAUAAAUCAAAUUUUUAUUACACAAAAUUUUAAACAGUUCACAAAAUUGAUUUAUUUACAAUUUUACUUAUAAGAAAAUUUAAUUUUUUUAAAUUUUUUUUUUAAAAUUAACCGGAUUGAAAAAGUAAAACUUUAAAAUUUAUUUAAGUGCAAUCUACUACUGUCUGUGAAUAUUUCUUAUUUUUAUUUUUUUAACUUUAAUCAUGGAUCUAAUUAAUAUUUACAUUUUUAUAUGUUAUUAUUUCGCGAAUUUUUAUAAUAUCAUGUGCAUAUUUAAUUAUUUUAUUAUAACUGUUAAUUACCAUUUAAUAUUCAUCUCAUGUUGAGUAAGAAUUUGAUUACAGAGCAGCAAGUACCUGCGACUGUAAAGUAUCAUUUCAGAGGCCAGAACCCAUAGAUCAAAGCGUUAAGAAAUUCUCUUUCACCUAAUCCAUGUGCCGCUGCGGACUAAAAUCGUUCCAACUUUCAAUUGAAGGAAGCCUUUGAUUU
rnacentral:lncRNA from 1 species